AGUGAACGCUGGCGGUAGGCCUAACACAUGCAAGUCGAACGGCAGCACAGUAAGAGCUUGCUCUUACGGGUGGCGAGUGGCGGACGGGUGAGGAAUACAUCGGAAUCUACUUUUUCGUGGGGGAUAACGUAGGGAAACUUACGCUAAUACCGCAUACGUCCUACGGGUGAAAGCAGGGGAUCUUCGCACCUUGCGCGUCUGAAUUAGCCGAUGUCGCAUUAGCUAGUUGGCUGGGUAAAGGCCCACCAAGGCGACGAUCCGUAGCUGGUCUGAGAGGAUGAUCAGCCACACUGGAACUGAGACACGGUCCAGACUCCUACGGGAGGCAGCAGUGGGGAAUAUUGGGCAAUGGGCGCAAGCCUGAUCCAGCCAUACCGCGUGGGUGAAGAAGGCCUUCGGGUUGUAAAGCCCUUUUGUUGGGAAAGAAAAGCAGCAGGUUAAUACCCCGCUGUUCUGACGGUACCCAAAGAAUAAGCACCGGCUAACUUCGUG
rnacentral:rRNA from 1 species